UACGUAGGGUGCAAGCGUUGUCCGGAAUUAUUGGGCGUAAAGGGUAGGUAGGUGGUCUCAUUUGUCUGGGGUGAAAGCCUUGAGCUUAACUCAAGAAGUGCCCCAGAAACGGUGAGACUAGAGUCCUGGAGAGGGUCGUGGAAUUCCCGGUGUAGCGGUGAAAUGCGUAGAGAUCGGGAGGAACACCAGAGGCGAAGGCGGCGACCUGGACAGGUACUGACACUCAACUACGAAAGCGUGGGGAGCAAACAGG
rnacentral:rRNA from 1 species